UGCUAUACAUGCAAGUCGAGCGGAUUGAUGGGAGCUUGCUCCCUGAUAUCAGCGGCGGACGGGUGAGUAACACGUGGGUAACCUGCCUGUAAGACUGGGAUAACUCCGGGAAACCGGGGCUAAUACCGGAUAACUCAUUUCCUCGCAUGAGGAAAUGUUGAAAGGUGGCUUUUCGCUACCACUUACAGAUGGACCCGCGGCGCAUUAGCUAGUUGGUGAGGUAACGGCUCACCAAGGCAACGAUGCGUAGCCGACCUGAGAGGGUGAUCGGCCACACUGGGACUGAGACACGGCCCAGACUCCUACGGGAGGCAGCAGUAGGGAAUCUUCCGCAAUGGACGAAAGUCUGACGGAGCAACGCCGCGUGAGUGAUGAAGGUUUUCGGAUCGUAAAGCUCUGUUGUUAGGGAAGAACAAGUGCCGUUCGAACAGGGCGGCACCUUGACGGUACCUAACCAGAAAGCCACGGCUAACUACGUGCCAGCAGCCGCGGUAAUACGUAGGUGGCAAGCGUUGUCCGGAAUUAUUGGG
rnacentral:rRNA from 1 species